rnacentral:tRNA from 1 species
UGGGGUGUAGCUCAGUGGCAGAGCAUACCCUUAGCAUGCACGAGGUACUGGGUUCAAUCCCCAGCACCUCUG